rnacentral:rRNA from 1 species
CGAACGGGUGAGUAACGCGUGAGGAACCUGCCUCAAAGAGGGGGACAACAGUUGGAAACGACUGCUAAUACCGCAUAAGCCCACGGCUCGGCAUCGAGCAGAGGGAAAAGGAGUGAUUCACUUUGAGAUGGCCUCGCGUCCGAUUAGCUAGUUGGUGAGGUAACGGCCCACCAAGGCGACGAUCGGUAGCCGGACUGAGAGGUUGAACGGCCACAUUGGGACUGAGACACGGCCCAG